rnacentral:tRNA from 1 species
GGAGAGAUGGCCGAGCGGUUCAAGGCGUAGCAUUGGAACUGC